AGAGUUUGAAUUUGUUGCAAAUAAGUGAUCACACGCUGCAAGGAAGGGUGAGACAGACAAACAGAAAAGACAGAAUACAGAUCAUGAUGGCUGUCCAGGGUUGAAAGUCCUCCCUAAGUAAACAAGACAGGCUAACAGCAGCAGACUGCAGGGCCCCGGGCUGUUUGGCCAUGGGACAGCAGCACAGUAUGGAGCAGUGGCUCCCUCAGGAGAUACCCGUUGAUCUUUCCAUGCUGCCUUUCAAAGGAGAGCACCGCUCAACGCUGCCUCCGGAAGAGAUGGGAUCUCUGACUCAGCCCUUUUGGGUUUCCUCGACAGACACUGUGGAAUACUCUGGCACGACGCAGCAGCAGCCACCUGACAGCAGUCCUCAGUCGCCACUUCUUAUAGACUCGUAGAGAAGAGACUUUCUCCCAGCAGACCUUCCAAACAAGGACACCUGUUCAGUGUUUUCAUAACUGUACUGUCAGGAACAUUUCCCAUGCUAUGUGAGGCCUGUAGAGUCUGAGAUGUAGCUCCUUUAAAAAAAAUUUCAGAUUCUCUGAGCGUU